rnacentral:rRNA from 1 species
UAAGGAACCUUCCACAAUGGGCGAAAGCCUGAUGGAGCAACGCCGCGUGCAGGAUGAAGGCCCUCGGGUCGUAAACUGCUUUUAUGAGUGAAGAAUAUGACGGUAACUCAUGAAUAAGCACCGGCUAACUACGUGCCAGCAGCCGCGGUCAUACGUAGGGUGCAAGCAUUAUCCGGAGUGACUGGGCGUAAAGAGUUGCGUAGGCGGUUAGUAAAGCGAAUAGUGAAACCUGGUGGCUCAACCAUACAGACUAUUAUUCGAACUCACUAACUCGAGAGUGGUAGAGGUAACUGGAAUUUCUUGUGUAGGAGUGAAAUCCGUAGAUAUAAGAAGGAACACCAAUGGCGUAGGCAGGUUACUGGACCAUUUCUGACGCUAAGGCACGAAAGCGUGGGGAGCGAACC